UACUACCGAAGCUACGGCAUCAGUAAUGAUGGGUAGGGGAGCUUCCCAUACGGGUUGAAGCAUGACCGUAAGGACAUGUGGACAGUAUGGGAGUGAGAAUGUUGGCAUGAGUAGCGGGAUGUGGGUGAGAAUCCCACAGGCCGUAAACCCAAGGUUUCCAGGGGAAGGUUCGUCCGCCCUGGGUUAGUCGGGACCUAAGCUGAGGCCGAAAGGCGUAGGUGAUGGACAACAGGUUGAUAUUCU
rnacentral:rRNA from 1 species